rnacentral:rRNA from 1 species
AAUUACACCACUAUUCAUUUGCACUACAUACGAUUAAGGUGAUUGUGCCACCUAAAUGCAGAUAUCUGAUCAGAAACUUAGAAAUUUUUAUACUGUCUUGGUGCCCAGUUCGCCGUGAUCCUCAAAAAUUACACCACUGUUCAUUUGCACUACAUACGUCCCCAUAAAAGAACGCGUGCUAAAAUAUGAAAUAUAUAGAAUAAUCACCAUGCGAUGAACCAUAGCAAUUGAUCAAGAGAAUACCUUCAGUAAUUCAGUAUCACGGUUAACUACUAGUAUCAAUAGAAUAUAUGGUAGAAGUUUAAGUUCCACAAAAACAUGGCGGCUGCUACAAAUCAGCCGAUUGAUUUGUUACAAAUUUAAGUCGCCCCCAGAGCCGUCCGAUCUGACACUCCCAGCCGCAGGAUCAGACAACACCACGACACAGUCAUGGCAGCAGCUCCAUGGCGGCACCGACGGCCCCCGGUGGCGCUCCAUUGCACCACUGACAACCCCGCCGCGGCGCUUCAUUGCAACUCCAGCGAUCCCUGCGGCGCUCCACUGCAGCGCCGGCCGUGGCGCUUCAUUCCAACUCCGGCAUCUCUGCGGCGCUCCACUGCAGCGCCGACCAAGGCGCUUCAUUGCAACUCCGGCGAUCCCCGCAGCGCUCCACUGCAGCGCCGGCCGCGUCGCUUCAUUGCAACUCCGGCGAUCCCCGCGGUGUUUCACUGCAGCGCCGGUCGUGCUCCAUUGUAGCGCCGACUAAGCUUCAACAGCCCCACGGCGCUUCAUUGAAACUCCGGCGAGCUUCGUUGCAACUCCGGCGGCAUUUCAAUCAACUCCGGCGGCGCUUCACUGCAGCUCCGGCGGCCCCGUGCUGCUUCAUUGCAACGCCGGCGAGCCCGCUCUACUUCACCUGUUGCACGCAGCUCCCGCCGGCCAUGACAGCAGCUUCCGCCCAGCCUAGCCUACGGCAGCACGAGGUGAGCGGUGACAGCGAUUUGCAGCAGCGGUGCAGCGACACUAGGCGACGACAGUUUGUAGCAGCGGUGCAGCAACGCGUGGUGGUGGCGGCGCUGGUCUACGACGACGGGCAACGGCGCUGGUGUGUGGGGCGGUGUGGAGAAGGAAGAAGAAGAGGAAGAAAGAACGAGCGGCUCAGCGCAUCGGGAGGAAGAGAUAAG